UGGCAACGUUUUUUGGUACGCACACAUCCAACGCAAGCAGUUUAAGAUACAGCUUCUAAAGAGGAGCCACCUACACAUGCAGCUCAUUUCUAUUUCCACCUUGAUUUCAGAAGAAGGUAUGGUAUGUAUGCAUAUGGGAGCCCCGCAGGCAAAGCACUGCCAUGUGAUAAGGCAGGCCAUGCCAUAGCACCCGUAAAAGCCAGUUGGAACAGCUGCAUAGAGGCUGGAGAGGAAAACACAAGCUGCAGCAAUGAAGUAUGUGAGAAAUACCAAUGAGAAACUUCUCGAGAGACAUCAGGCAAGGAGAGAUGGGCAAAUGGGUGUGCUGGCAAACACUCUUAGAGGUGAAUGCAUGUUCACAAAAUCCCUUGCUCUCACACUUAGGAUCUUCCUUUCCUUUCUUCCCAUCUGGACUUCAAAUGAGCCAAAGUCUCAUUUUCUUCCUUUCCUCAGUUCUGCGC